AAACAUGCAAGUCGAGGGGCAGCAAUUUGUAGCAAUACAAAGUUGGCGACCGGCGCACGGGUGAGUAACGCGUAUGCAACCUACCUACAACAGAAGAAUAAUCCGGCGAAAGUCGGUCUAAUACUUCAUAAAACAGGGAUACUGCAUGGUGUUAUUUGUUAAAGAUUUAUCGGUUGUAGAUGGGCAUGCGUACCAUUAGGUAGUUGGUGAGGUAACGGCCCACCAAGCCUACGAUGGUUAGGGGUUCUGAGAGGAAAGUCCCCCACACUGGUACUGAGACACGGACCAGACUCCUACGGGAGGCAGCAGUGAGGAAUAUUGGUCAAUGGGCGAGAGCCUGAACCAGCCAAGUCGCGUGAAGGAUGACGGCCCUAUGGGUUGUAAACUUCUUUUGCAGGGGAAUAAAGAUAUUCACGUGUGGGUAGUUGUAUGUACCCUGCGAAUAAGCAUCGGCUAACUCCGUGCCUGCAGCCGCGGUAAUACGGAGGAUGCGAGCGUUAUCCGGAUUUAUUGGGUUUAAAGGGUGCGUAGGUGGGCUAUUAAGUCAGUGGUGAAAGUUUGUCGCUCAACGAUAAAAUUGCCGUUGAAACUGGUGGUCUUGAGUAUGGAUGAAGUAGGCGGAAUGCGUGGUGUAGCGGUGAAAUGCAUAGAGAUCACGCAGAACUCCGAUUGCGAAGGCAGCUUACUAAGGCAUAACUGACACUGAGGCACGAAAGCGUGGGUAUCAAACAGGAUUAGAUACCCUGGUAGUCCACGCAGUAAACGAUGAUUACUAGGAGUUUGCGAUAUAGUGUAAGCUCUACAGCGAAAGCGUUAAGUAAUCCACCUGGGGAGUACGCCGGCAACGGUGAAACUCAAAGGAAUUGACGGGGGCCCGCACAAGCGGAGGAACAUGUGGUUUAAUUCGAUGAUACGCGAGGAACCUUACCCGGGA
rnacentral:rRNA from 1 species